UAGGGAAUCUUCCACAAUGGACGCAAGUCUGAUGGAGCAACGCCGCGUGAGUGAAGAAGGUUUUCGGACCGUAAAGCUCUGUUGUUGGUGAAGAAGGAUAGAGGUAGUAACUGGCCUUUAUUUGACGGUAAUCAACCAGAAAGUCACGGCUAACUACGUGCCAGCAGCCGCGGUAAUCGUAGGUGGCAAGCGUUGUCCGGAUUUAUUGGGCGUAAAGCGAGCGCAGGCGGAAGAAUAAGUCUGAUGUGAAAGCCCUCGGCUUAACCGAGGAAUUGCAUCGGAAACUGUUUUCUUGAGUGCAGAAGAGGAGAGUAGAAACUCCA
rnacentral:rRNA from 1 species